UCCAUGAAAUUAGUUGGUGUGGAAUGGUUUUGCAGAUUCAGAACGCCAAAACCUUCUUACUGCUAAGUUCUCUUUCUUUAUCUUUCUCCUUGAUUUCCUAUGAUCUUAAUGCUCAUAAUGAUGCCGAGAAGAGUGUGGUUAGCGUGCAUUGUUAUUGCUGUUAUUGGCUUUGUUAUUUGUCAUGAUGAUGCCACGGGAGCUAAACAUUGUGAGCCUGCUUCUUGUGGGGAUCUGCAUGACAUUCGAUUCCCUUUUCGUGUGAAAAUUAAUGGUGCUUAUGAUCCUAAUUGUCUCAGCCAUCCAGCUGAACUUUCAUGUGAGCAGAACCGCACUGUUCUAAAUCUUUUUAAUGGUACAUAUUAUGUUAAGACCAUCGAUUAUAGAGACUAUACAAUGCAAAUUGUUGAUCCAGGUCUGCUACGCGAUACUUGCCCCUUCAGGCCACUCUACAGUCUAACAAGUAGUAACUUUAGUGAAGGGUAUACACACGAGCCGGGCUGGGUGAAAAAUCAAUACCUUGAUAUUGAGUUUAACUACGUAGUCUUCUUUGAUUGCUCAUCGGAAGUUGACUCAGCAGAGUACAUAAGAACCAAUUGCAGUAAUACUGUCUCAUCAUCAUCUGCUACAUAUUCUUAUAUUAUGCUGGGAGAUGGAGUAAAUAACCUUCAUUCUUGUAAUAUGACUGGGAUUACAGUGGUAGCAGAGACUGCAAGUGUUGCUUCAUUUUCUGUCAUCCGAGAUGAGUUCAGAAAGGGUUUUAAGCUUUCGUGGGGGCCUUUUCUCCCCUUUGAGUACUGCUACACAAGAACCCAGUCCCCCUAUUGUGAGUUUCCGUGAGUACUUGAAACGUAGUAAGUUUUACUGGCACCACUUUUAGUACUCCGUUCUGUUUUUCUGAAUUACUUUUGAUUUACCCAAACAUGAGGGUUAUAUUGUGGCUAUUCACUACCAUUCUUGAACCUAAAUCACUUCUUCCUCGACUCUGUUUUCAUUCAGGUCUCGCAAGAGUUGCCAAGGUCACUGGAUGCAGUCUGAUGGCACGAAUGAUUCUGGGCCUUACUGUUUUUCUGGUUAUCUGGAGCUACAAAUUGUAUUGGAAAAAGUUCCUAAAGGAAGAUGCGGUAGAAGAAUUCUUCAAUGCAUGCAACAAAACGUAUGCAAAGACUGUAUUCAUACUCAGAUAUCAAGAAGAUGGCCAUUGAUUUCAAAAACAAAGUCAGUCAGGGAAGCUAUAGAGAAACCUUAAGAAGGUUUGCAUACUCGGACAUUAAGACGAUGACACUUGAUUUGAAACACAAAGUCAGUCAGGGCAGCUAUUGGAAAAAG